GAAGGGUUUACUUCUUCUGUGCAACGAUCACAGUUGAGAGCAGAUGAAGUCUUGAACUGCUGCUGUACCAAGAAGUUCCUUCUCCAGACUUCAGAGCAGUUAUUUUUAAGUAGGUUCAUCAAAAAGUUGAGCCAUUGAACCCAAAAAAUGGGCGCGGAGAAUCAUAAAACUUUAUAUAGAAUCUGUCGCUGUCUAUUGACAGUUUUGUCUGAAGAAUCUCUGCAAUGGUUGAACUGAGUUUGCCAUUUACACUAGGUCCAAGACCUCCAAUGGAAAUUAGUUCUCCAUAUGCAGC
rnacentral:misc_RNA from 1 species